CCGAGCUGGCCCGCUACCUUGUGACUGUGGAAUGCAAAGCCACUAAUAUUUUGACCUCCGUCCUGGAAACGGCUGCGUUUACCUUUUUCAAAGAUAUUUUUCCCUUAUUUAUCGGAUCCCUCAGGAGAGAUCCAUCUCCCGGCCCUGACGCCGGCUUCCUCCUCUACAUCUGAGACCGGACCGGCGGAGCCCAGACGCGCGCUUGCACGCGCGCGCACGCUCACACAUGCGCACCUGCUGCCCCGGAGCGGACGCUGGGCGCAGAUCGCUAUAGCAGGCGUCUCUGACGGGAACGGGUACGUGAGGAAGAAGCGGACACGGAAACGGGAUUCCCGACGACCACCGCCCUUAUUGACGCGGCAUGAAUGAAACGAGUCCUCCCAAAAACCUCCCCGUCGCGAACCGCGGGAGCGCACGUGCGCUCACGGGGCGUCCACGCGGCCGAGGUAGCCGUUAGUGAGCGGGGCGGCACCGCGAGCAGCCGUCGUCGGUCGCAUAAAUCGCAGAGCAAAUGGAGCCGAACAUCAAGGACGCAGAGUCUUUCUGGAGCGAGGAACAAGAGCUUCUUUUCCCCUAAUAAUCGGACCUCUUUGCCGCGAUGCGUCAAAUGCGUUUUCAAGGACUACAUGGAGGAUGAACCAUGCGAUGCUACGGUUCCAAUGGGCCGUUUGUUCCUGGGAAUGCCUGUCCAGUGUGGUCAUCAUGUAGUGUAACCUGUGGGGAAGAGGAGCAUGGAUGACUGCGUGUGCAUCUGCCAACUGAGUCGUGCAGCCUGAAUUAGUCCGGGACUUUAUUAAUGCUUGUGUUGUUAAUGUAGAUAUGUUAUCGUAUUGAUACUUGCGUUAAGACAAACACUGAGCUGUCUGAUCUCACUCA